GGUCCACACUCGCUCUUGGUACUGCGUACCGGACUAUAUACGGAUUGGUGAGGCUACGACCGGCGACGUCCCGGCUCUACCAAACAUCUGGCAUGUUUGUGAAUCCGAUCCACACAUGUCCCCAUUCUCGUCGUUUGGAAGGUUGAAUGACGAUAUCUCGGAACAUGGCAGCUACUGGCGACUCGAUCGACGCUCGACCUGUGGUUGAACUCUUUAGGGUGAGAAAGGGAAACCCCUCUGAGAUGGAAUCUGAGGUUCCGAUCUGAUGUUACCGUUCUUCCCGCCAGCUUAACGCUUUGCUUCUGAUAUCCCCAAUUCACCGGAAUAUCGGCCGGAUGCGUGGACUACUCCCCCUUCGAGGCUCAUCCUCUUUUCUCCAGGGCUGAUUUUCAUUAUUUCUUACCCCUUUAUCAGUCGAAUCACGUCCUGGAGAGGCCUCGCCACAUUUUACCACUUCCCUGGCUGGAAGAGAAGGUAGGCAGGAAUCGGAUGCAGGAAUCCUACAAACCGUUUACAUUCAUUUGGUUAUUUUUGGGCUGGGUGGGAAAACUCCGAAGCUGGGCUUUGGAGUGCUUUUUAUUUUGAUAUACCUCCUGUUAAUUUUGUUUGUUAGUGAUUCCCACCCAGCCACAUAGUCGAUAUAGUAUCUAGUAUAUUGUUGUUCGAUAACUAGUUUAGUUGACCCCCCUUGUUUGAAAUAUAAUAUUUUGGACGGGA
rnacentral:sRNA from 2 species